CUGCCGUAUACUGGGGGAUAACACUUAGAAAUAGGUGCUAAUACCGCAUAAGCGCACAGCUUCGCAUGAAGUGGUGUGAAAAACUCUGGUGGUAUACGAUGGUUCCGCGUCUGAUUAGCUUGUUGGUGGGGUAAUGGCUCACCAAGGCGACGAUCAGUAGCCGGCCUGAGAGGGUGAACGGCCACAUUGGGACUGAGACACGGCCCAAACUCCUACGGGAGGCAGCAGUGGGGAAUAUUGCACAAUGGGGGAAACCCUGAUGCAGCGACGCCGCGUGAGUGAAGAAGUAUUUCGGUAUGUAAAGCUCUAUCAGCAGGGAAGAAAAUGACGGUACCUGAUUAAGAAGCCCCGGCUAACUACGUGCCAGCAGCCGCGGUAAUACGUAGGGGGCAAGCGUUAUCCGGAUUUACUGGGUGUAAAGGGAGCGUAGACGGCAGCACAAGUCUGAAGUGAAAUGCCGGGGCUUAACCCCGGAACUGCUUUGGAAACUGUGCAGCUAGAGUGCAGGAGAGGUAAGUGGAAUUCCUAGUGUAGCGGUGAAAUGCGUAGAUAUUAGGAGGAACACCAGUGGCGAAGGCGGCUUACUGGACUGUAACUGACGUUGAGGCUCGAAAGCGUGGGGAGCAAACAGGAAGAGAUACCCUGGUAGUCCACGCUGUAAACGAUGA
rnacentral:rRNA from 1 species